rnacentral:rRNA from 1 species
AGAGGGUGCAAGCGUUAAUCGGAAUUACUGGGCGUAAAGCGCGCGUAGGUGGUUCGUUAAGUUGGAUGUGAAAUCCCCGGGCUCAACCUGGGAACUGCAUUCAAAACUGACGAGCUAGAGUAUGGUAGAGGGUGGUGGAAUUUCCUGUGUAGCGGUGAAAUGCGUAGAUAUAGGAAGGAACACCACUGGCGAAGGCGACCACCUGGACUGAUACUGACACUGAGGUGCGAAAGCGUGGGGAGCAAGCAGGAUUAGAUACCCCGGUAGUCCACGCCGUAAACGAUGUCAACUAGCCGUUGGGAGCCUUGAGCUCUUAGUGGCGCAGUAACGCAUUAAGUUGACCGCCUGGGGAGUACGGCCGCAAGGUUA